rnacentral:rRNA from 1 species
GAUAAACGCUGGCGGCGUACAUAAGACAUGCAAGUCGAACGAGCUAAAGCUUAGAAGAUUUAUCUACUAAGUGGUGCUAGUGGCGGAUGGGUGAGUAACACGUAAGCAACCUACCUAGCAGAGGGGAAUAACAGUGAGAAAUCAUUGCUAAUACCGCAUACCUUGAAUCUUAGGCAUCUAAGAAACAAGAAAAGAGUAAUCUGCUGUUAGAUGGGCUUGCGCCUGAUUAGCUAGUUGGUGAGAUAAUAGCUCACCAAGGCGACGAUCAGUAGCCGAACUGAGAGGUUGGACGGCCACAUUGGGACUGAGACACGGCCCAG